UACGUAGGUGACAAGCGUUGUCCGGAUUUACUGGGCGUAAAGAGCGCGCAGGCGGUCGAUCAAGUCGAGUGUGAAAGCCCCCGGCUCAACUGGGGAGGGUCAUCGAUACUGAUCGACUCGAAGGCAGGAGAGGGUAGUGGAAUUCCCGGUGUAGUGGUGAAAUGCGUAGAUAUCGGGAGGAACACCAGUGGCGAAGGCGACUACCUGGCCUGUUCUGACGCUGAGGCGCGAAAGCUAGGGGAGCAACGGGG
rnacentral:rRNA from 1 species